GACGAACGCUGGCGGCGUGCUUAACACAUGCGAGUCGAACGGAAAGGCCCUGCUUUUGUGGGGUGCUCGAGUGGCGAACGGGUGAGUAACACGAGAGUAACCUGCCCUUGACUUUGGGAUAACUUCAGGAAACUGGGGCUAAUACCGGAUAGGAGCUCCUGCUGCAUGGUGGGGGUUGGAAAGUUUCGGCGGGUGGGGAUGGACUCGCGGCUUAUCAGCUUGUUGGUGGGGUCGUGGCUUACCAAGGCUUUGACGGGUAGCCGGCCUGAGAGGGUGACCGGCCACAUUGGGACUGAGAUACGGCCCGGACUCCUACGGGAGGCAGCAGUGGGGAAUAUUGCACAAUGGGCGGAAGCCUGAUGCAGCAACGCCGCGUGCGGGAUGACGGCCUUCGGGUUGUAAACCGCUUUCGCCUGUGACGAAGCGUGAGUGACGGUAAUGGGUAAAGAAGCACCGGCUAACUACGUG
rnacentral:rRNA from 1 species